GACGAACGCUGGCGGCGUGCCUAAUACAUGCAAGUAGAACGCAGUUGCGAACGGGUGAGUAACGCGUAGGUAACUGCCUCAUAGCGGGGGAUAACUAUUGGAAACGAUAGCUAAUACCGCAUACUGUGAGAUGGACCUGCGUUGUAUUAGCUAGUUGGUGAGGUAAAGGCUCACCAAGGCGACGAUACAUAGCCGACCUGAGAGGGUGUGAGGCGACACUGUGACUGUGAGACGCCGCAGAGUCCUCUGGGAGGCGGAAGUAGGGGAUCUUCGGAAAUGGACGGAAGUGUGUCCCCGCAAAGCCGCGGGAGUGAAGAAGGGUUUCGGAGCGUAAAAAUCUGUGGUUAGAGAAGCGGGAAAUAUCCAGAAAGGGACGGCUAACUACGUGCCAGCCGCCGCGGUAAUUC
rnacentral:rRNA from 1 species